rnacentral:rRNA from 1 species
UACGUAUGGUUCAAGCGUUAUCCGGAUUUACUGGGCGUAAAGGGAGCGCAGGCGGCGCGCCAAGUCUGAUGUGAAACCCCGGGGCUCAACCCCGGGCAUGCAUUGGAAACUGGCGGGCUGGAGUGCCGGAGAGGUAAGCGGAAUUCCUAGUGUAGCGGUGAAAUGCGUAGAUAUUAGGAGGAACACCAGUGGCGAAGGCGGCUUACUGGACGGCAACUGACGCUGAGGCUCGAAAGCGUGGGGAGCAAACAGG